GGUUGUGUGGUGUAAUGGUUAUCACAUCAGACUCUGAAUCUGAGUAUCCGAGUUCGAAUCUCGGCACGACCU
rfam:Nosema bombycis CQ1 unplaced genomic scaffold NBO_8, whole genome shotgun sequence.